rnacentral:rRNA from 1 species
ACCUACGGGGGGCAGCAGUGGGGAAUAUUGCACAGUGGGGGAAACCCUGAUGCAGCGACGCCGCGUGGGCGAAGAAGUAUUUCGGUAUGUAAAGCCCUAUCAGCAGGGAAGAAGAAAUGACGGUACCUGAGUAAGAAGCACCGGCUAAAUACGUGCCAGCAGCCGCGGUAAUACGUAUGGUGCAAGCGUUAUCCGGAUUUACUGGGUUUAAAGGGUGCGCAGGCGGCACGGCAAGCCGGCGGUCAAAUCGCGGGGCUCAACCCCGCCCAGCCGUCGGAACUGCCGGGCUAGAGUGGGCGAGAAGU